rnacentral:rRNA from 1 species
GACUACUGGGGUAUCUAAUCCUGUUUGCUCCCCACGCUUUCGUGCAUGAGCGUCAGUGUUAUCCCAGGGGGCUGCCUUCGCCAUCGGUGUUCCUCCGCAUAUCUACGCAUUUCACUGCUACACGCGGAAUUCCACCCCCCUCUGACACACUCCAGCCUUGCAGUCACCAAUGCAGUUCCCAGGUUAAGCCCGGGGAUUUCACAUCGGUCUUACAAAACCGCCUGCGCACGCUUUACGCCCAGUAAUUCCGAUUAACGCUCGCACCCUACGUAUUACCGCGGCUGCUGGCACGUAGUUAGCCGGUGCUUAUUCUGCAGGUACCGUCAUUAGUCCAGGGUAUUGGCCCGGACCGUUUCGUUCCCACCAAAAGUGCUUUACAACCCGAAGGCCUUCAUCACACACGCGGCAUUGCUGGAUCAGGCUUGCGCCCAUUGUCCAAAAUUCCCCACUGCAGCCACCCGUAGG